CGGCGUGCCUAAUACAUGCAAGUCGAGCGGACUAAUUAAGAGCUUGCUCUUAUGAGGUUAGCGGCGGACGGGUGAGUAACACGUGGGCAACCUGCCCUGUAGACUGGGAUAACAUCGAGAAAUCGGUGCUAAUACCGGAUAAUUGUUGGAACUGCAUAGUUCUAACUUAAAAGAUGGCUCCGGCUAUCACUAUAGGAUGGGCCCGCGGCGCAUUAGCUAGUUGGUAAGGUAAUGGCUUACCAAGGCGACGAUGCGUAGCCGACCUGAGAGGGUGAUCGGCCACACUGGGACUGAGACACGGCCCAGACUCCUACGGGAGGCAGCAGUAGGGAAUCUUCCGCAAUGGACGAAAGUCUGACGGAGCAACGCCGCGUGAGUGAUGAAGGUUUUCGGAUCGUAAAGCUCUGUUGUUAGGGAAGAACAAGUGCCGUUCGAAUAGGGCGGCACCUUGACGGUACCUAACCAGAAAGCCACGGCUAACUACGUG
rnacentral:rRNA from 1 species